UACGUAGGGGGCUAGCGUUGUCCGGAUUUAUUGGGCGUAAAGAGCGUGUAGGCGGCCAAGUAGGUCCGGUGUGAAAGUCACAGGCUCAACCUGUGAAUGCCGCUGGAAACUGUCUGGCUAGAGUCCGGAAGGGGCGAGUGGAAUUCCUGGUGUAGCGGUGAAAUGCGCAGAUAUCAGGAGGAACACCAAUGGCGAAGGCAGCUCGCUGGACCGGUACUGACGCUGAGGCGCGAAAGCGUGGGGAGCGAACAGG
rnacentral:rRNA from 1 species